GACGAACGCUGGCGGUGUGCUUAACACAUGCAAGUCGAACGGUAAGGCCCUUUCGGGGGUACACGAGUGGCGAACGGGUGAGUAACACGUGAGUAACCUGCCCUCAUCUCUGGGAUAACAGUCGGAAACGGUUGCUAAUACUGGAUAUGAGCUUGCAAGGCAUCUUGUGGGUUGGAAAGAUUUUUUUUGGUUGGGGAUGGACUCGCGGCCUAUCAGCUUGUUGGUGAGGUAGUGGCUCACCAAGGCUUCGACGGGUAGCCGGCCUGAGAGGGCGACCGGCCACAUUGGGACUGAGAUACGGCCCAAACUCCUACGGGAGGCAGCAGUGGGGAAUAUUGCACAAUGGACGGAAGUCUGAUGCAGCAACGCCGCGUGCGGGAUGACGGCCUUCGGGUUGUAAACCGCUUUCAAUUGUGACGAAGCUUUUUUGUGACGGUAGCAGUAGAAGAAGCACCGGCUAACUACGUGC
rnacentral:rRNA from 1 species